UACGUAGGGACCAAGCGUUGUUCGGAUUUACUGGGCGUAAAGGGCGCGUAGGCGGCAAUUCAAGUCAUCUGUGAAAUCUCCGGGCUUAACCCGGAACGGUCAGAUGAUACUGCUUUGCUAGAGUGCGGAAGGGGCAAUCGGAAUUCUCGGUGUAGCGGUGAAAUGCGUAGAUAUCGAGAGGAACACCAGAGGUGAAGACGGGUUGCUGGGCCGACACUGACGCUGAUAGCGCGAAAGCCAGGGGAGCAAACGGGG
rnacentral:rRNA from 1 species